rnacentral:rRNA from 1 species
AUUGAACGCUGGCGGCAUGCCUUACACAUGCAAGUCGAACGGCAGCGGGCCCUUCGGGGUGCCGGCGAGUGGCGAACGGGUGAGUAAUGCAUCGGAACGUACCCGGGAGAGGGGGAUAACCGGCCGAAAGGCUGGCUAAUACCGCAUGAACUCGGAAGAGCAAAGCGGGGGACCUUCGGGCCUCGCGCUCUCGGAGCGGCCGAUGUCCGAUUAGGCUAGUUGGUGGGGUAAAGGCCCACCAAGGCGACGAUCGGUAGCGGGUCUGAGAGGAGGAUCCGCCACACUGGGACUGAGACACGGCCCAGACUCCUACGGGAGGCAGCAGUGGGGAAUCUUGGACAAUGGGCGCAAGCCUGAUCCAGCAAUGCCGCGUGGGUGAAGAAGGCCUUCGGGUUGUAAAGCCCUUUCGGCGGGGAAGAAAUCGGUCAGGCGAAUAGUCUGGCCGGAUGACGGUACCCGCAGAAGAAGCACCGGCUAACUACGUG